AAAUUAAUAGUUUAAUAAAAAUUUUAAUUUUGGAUAUUAAAGAUUUUAAAUUUUUUUA
rnacentral:tRNA from 1 species